rnacentral:lncRNA from 1 species
AAUUCUGUCUGGACACAAAGGAAAAAUCGGAAUUGGCAGAUACUCUCUCGGUUACUCCCUGGUUGCAGUUAAUGAGCAGCCUGUUCGCCUGCAGCCUUUAGACAGGGAACAAGGGGCACAGCUUUUCCCACUUUAUUGGUUACUGACUGGGAAAGAAGGAUUCCACUAGCACUGCUUGGCUAUCAAAGCUGGGCAAUGUGAUCCUCUAAGCCACAUGUUUAGCCCCUUGACUGGGCAAACUUCAAACAAGUGACUGAGCUCCCUUAGCUGCCACUGAUUGGACCAGGAUGGACAACAAAUGUAGGAGGAGUUCAUCUGGAUCUAGCCUGAGCCAGUCAGAUAUCCCCUUUGAAUCCAUGCCUAUAGAAAUACAAAAAAAUGGAAGCCAGAGGAUGAUGGAUCCUUGAAGUAAUAAGUCAGGUAGAUCUUGAAAAUUUUUGACUCAAUCCAUAUUGAUGAACACAAGAAUAAUUCUGGUCUACAAAGAGAGGCAAGAGAAAGACUUGGGGUGUAUUAAGAAAAACAGCUCUGUGGAAGUUUGAGUGACUCAUUGCAGAGAGGAAUUGAUGAAGUCAACAGCUGCUGGAAAAACUUCUUUUUCCUUAAUAGCUGUAUCAACAUGUGGUUGCUAUUAUUCAAAGUGGAUGAAAUAAUUCUGCAAGCCAGUGGGAACAGGAAGCUUCAUGAAGAGGAGAAAGGCUUAGGGCUCAGAAACCGCACAGAGCAGGAGGAUAGAUGAAUGUAAGGAACAGAGCUUUGAGGACAGACACCCCUGGAUUAGACAAUAGCUCCAAAACUUAUUAAUGAUGGUGAAUGGGUGACUUUCUAAAACCCUUUAAACCUUAUUUGUAAAAUGGGACCAUCAAUAUCUAUUUUGAAAUCUUGUAUAAAUUUGCAAUAAUGUCUGUAAAGUAUCUGACAGGAGCUCAGAAAUGACACAAUUCUUUAAAUCCACUCACACCCAACUUUUAAACAAAAAGUAGCAGUAUAUCCUACACACGAUUUUUAAAUUUUACUAUUUAAGUUAACAUCAUGCUAUGAACAUAUUUCCAUGUCAUUAAAUAUUCUAUUCCAUCCAAUAUUUAAAAGCUAAUAGAAGUCUGUUAAAUGCAUAUGCCAUAAUUUAUUUAACCAAUUCGGUUGUUUUAAUAUUUAUGUUGUUUCCAAUAUAUUAUGCUAUUGACAAUAAAAUGAUGAACAUUUAUGAUGAUGAA